GGGUGAUUGGUCUAGCGGUAUGAUUCUCGUUUCGGGUACGAGAGGUCCCGGGUUCGAUUCCCGGAUCGCCCC